rnacentral:rRNA from 1 species
UAGGGAAUCUUCGGCAAUGGACGGAAGUCUGACCGAGCAACGCCGCGUGAGUGAAGAAGGUUUUCGGAUCGUAAAGCUCUGUUGUUAGAGAAGAACGUUGGUAGGAGCGGAAAAUCUACCAAGUGACGGUAACUAACCAGAAAGGGACGGCUAACUACGUGCCAGCAGCCGCGGUAAUACGUAGGUCCCGAGCGUUGUCCGGAUUUAUUGGGCGUAAAGCGAGCGCAGGCGGUUCUUUAAGUCUGAAGUUAAAGGCAGUGGCUUAACCAGUGUACGCAUUGGAAACUGGAGGACUUGAGUGCAGAAGGGGAGAGUGGAAUUCCAUGUGUAGCGGUGAAAUGCGUAGAUAUAUGGAGGAACACCGGUGGCGAAAGCGGCUCUCUGGUCUGUAACUGACGCUGAGGCUCGAAAGCGUGGGGAGCAAACAGG